UCCGUCUAGGAAAACUUGGCUUGUGCAGCCUAGUGCACAGACUGCUCACCAUGCUGUGCCGACACCAGACUAUUCCCACCACCACCACCAACCCUCUUCACUCCCCUUUCUCUCCUCGUGCGCACACACUUGAAUAAACACGCAAGCAUCCUGUGCUAUGCCACCGCCUGCUCUGCACACAAACCUGACUGGGAGGGUGGCAGUUGGGGUGAGGAGUUAACUAUCCGCUGGGAAGCCUCCACGGCAAAUCACGGGAAUAGCUGGAGUGGUAUUCAAAAAAGAGACACAGGACAGGGAUCCUGGUGGAAGAGCGGGUCAAGAGCUGGCAGCAAUAUUAUGGCGAAAAAACAGAAGAUGAUCGAAGGACUCAUGGUGGGCAGUGCCAGGUGGCAGCAGGGGCAUGUUUCGGCCACCUGUCCUGGGGAAUAUGUACACGUCUUGCUCCUCCUGCUCUCCCAGUGUGGGAUGACACCAACUCCCUGUCUGCAUGGUUGGCUCAUUGUCUGUCCAUCUCAUCGCUUGUUGGCUUGCAAGGCUACCGCUCAGUCACUCUCUUCAGUCAUCAGCCUGUCUGUUAGCUUUCAAGCUUGCUAAUUCCACCUGUAUUUCUCCUCAAUAUUCGACUCAUUCGUUACAUUGCCAUUAUCCUCAGACCUGAUUCUCGUGUUAUUCUUCCUAGAAAUUCUCUAGAACCCCGUGGACACAAUCCUGGUGGCUUUGGGUAUGCAAAAAGCAACCAGUCAUUUCAAUUAUGGUAAAGACACGUUUCCACACACAUUCCCAGAAAGACAAAUGUUGCAUGGAAAGCGCAUUAGAAAACAUCACCUCCCAUACAAAAUUGAGAAAAAUUAUAUUUGGAGUUUCAAGCAGGAAAGUCGAACUUUAAACAAGUCUUCAUCAUAUGAACUGUCUCAACUCGGACAAGUGGUACAAUUUUAUGUGAUCAGAUUGUAAAACCUUUUCUAAGAUGUUACUGAAGUCUGCAUUUCCGGACGCCUAGCUUUUCAACAGGAAGAACCGAGGACAGAAGGUCUGGUAACAUAGCCUCCAACCGCAGCUCUAAUUUGGUCCAGCAAGUACAGCAUGGUGUUCGAAAAUGUACAAAGACACAGAGGAGAGGGUUCGGAUGCAGAAAUGGGCACAAACAACCAGUCAAGUGCAUUCAUACACACACUGGUGCACACGCGCAUGGAGGACAGCAGAAACUCCUCCUGCCAGCCCUGCACCAUCUGUCUCUCUGUCUGUGCUUCACAGCCAUGCCCAAACAGGGCCCCAGCAGAGCCAGUGUGAAAUUAGCUGCCUUUGUGGGGCUUUGUCUGCUAGUGCAUGUGUGUUUGGGUCUAUCAGAACGCUUGGUUUAAAUGUGUAUUUUAAAAGCAUAUUUGCAGGCAGGCUGUCAAGAGGUAACCCACGUUGGUAUGCUGGUGCGUGCAUACUUGUGUAGGUAAAACGAGUAAAUCUGUGAUCGAGUCGAGCUAUUUCCCCUGACCUAUGACCUCUGCACAACCACAGCCUUUAUACACUCCUUCUACACUAAUAUGCAAGCAUGGUGUGUAUGUGUUUACUUGCUUUUGUCUGAAUGGUUAGCCCCUGCAAGCCUAUUUGGUCCUGGUUGGCCAUAUCUUGCUCCCAGGGUGCUCUUUGAUAUCCACUCAGCACUCUGACCUUUCGUGAACUUUGGCUAGACCUCCUGACCCUAGGCUUUUGGGAGCUCUGUCCUCCUCCUCUCUUCCUGCUAAUACGUAAUAAAUCUUGUCUGCCUUGACACCACCCCACACACACACACCCAUACGCAGUUAUAAAUGAUCCAGCCAACACAUCAUCACCUUGCACCCCUAACAUUAAUGAGUGUAGAGGUUAAAGGUGGUUGACAUUCCUCUCACGCUCCUGUCUGAACACCAUGCACCAUCCUGACCCCCCUCCCAUCCCCCUGCUUGCAUCACAUACGCCGUAACAAAAGACUUGUGUUCUCCCAUGUGCCUUCUGUAAAGUGAAAGCUCCAGACGCACAAGUAAUGGCAUCAGGUAAACACACAAAAAAAGACAAUUUUGAUGUUGCAAAAAAAUAAGAGACCACUGUAAAACAUACUCAAAGUUUCAGGAAAAAAAGUCUGAUUUAGUGUGUGGUCCAAGGCAUUCAUGGGACAGUCUGGGCUACUGCUAUCCAGAAUGAUGAAGAAUGCUGCGCCUUGUGACAGAUAAUCAUUCUGUUCUUCUCUACUGCAGAGUCUUGGCUAAGAGACAAACCGUCUGGCAAAAAGACAGUGUUACGAUGCAGAGCUCAAUCAAACUGUCUUUCUACCCAAAGUCAUUACUCCUUCAUAGAUGAGCAGUAAUGUCAGCAGUCAUGACAAAAGCAGGGAUCCCUCUGCUCCACUGUGAGAAGAGCCCUCUGCUGGACAGAAGAAGCAUGGCACCCUUGGAGCCCUACCGCUGUGUUCGCAGCAUUAGAAACUGAAAACGCAGCAAAGCUUUGCUCUACAACAUCCUGUCUCCCUCUCACACCACAAAAGAGGAACAACACCAAGGCUAUGUUUGUGGUUUCACCUCAGUCUGGUAUUAAGUUACAAAUGGUGAACGAGACUGGUCCAAAAAUGGUAAUAGGCCAGGGGAAAUCUGCUGUUAAUUUUUUUAACUUAGUAUUUUCAUUUGUUCCUCUGUUGAUUGAUGUCUCCUCCCCACCUCUGUGACCUGCAGCGAUUGUCCCCCUUUAAGGCUUCACAGCCCUCUGACAUCAGUGUGUGUGUGUACUUGUGAGUUUGUGAAUGUGUGAAAUGGAAGGCCAGUCACAGUCGUCUGAUCCGGGGCCAAGCUAAAGGGAUUAGGUUGGCCUGGACUGAGAGGGGAAGGGGCCCACCAUCUCUGUUACUUGAGGAUCAAAAUGACACUGUUGGUGCCCUAAGAACUGCAACUGACUCCCUAUCAGAUCCACAGGUGGGAGUAUGGGAGGAACAACCAUGUAGAUAGAUUCCACUUUGAGUUGAUCAGAAAUACAAUAAAAAAGUUUUUUUUGUUUGAAGUCCCACUCUUUUAAAGCA